AUUGAACGCUGGCGGCAGGCCUAACACAUGCAAGUCGAACGAGCGGCGGACGGGCGAGUAAUGUCUGGGUAACUGCCUGAUGGAGGGGGAUAACUACUGGAAACGGUAGCUAAUCCCGCAUACUAUCGGAUGUGCCCUGAUGGGAUUCGCUAGUAGGUGGGGUAACGGCUCACCUAGGCGACGAUCCCUAGCUGGUCUGAGAGGAUGACCAGCCACACUGGGACUGAGACACGGUCCAGACUCCUACGGGAGGCAGCAGUGGGGAAGAUUGCACAAUGGGCGCAAGCCUGAUGCAGCCAUGCCGCGUGUAUGAAGAAGGCCUUCGGGUUGUAAAGUACUUUCAGCGGGGAGGCGUUACCCGCAGAAGAAGAACCGGCUAACUCCGUGCCAGCAGCCGCGGUAAUAC
rnacentral:rRNA from 1 species